CUACGGAGGGUGCGAGCGUUACUCGGAGUCACUGGGCGUAAAGCGUCCGUAGGCGGUCGGGUAAGUCGGGUGUGAAAGCCCCGGGCUCAACCUGGGAAGUGCACCCGAUACUGCUCGACUCGAGUGCGGGAGAGGAUGGCGGGAUUCCCGGUGUAGGGGUGAAAUGCGUAGGGAUCGGGAGGAACACCAGUGGCGAAGGCGGCCAUCUGGCCCGAAACUGACGCUGAGGGACGAAAGCGUGGGGAGGAAACAGGAUUAGAAACCCUAGUAGUCC
rnacentral:rRNA from 1 species